rnacentral:lncRNA from 1 species
CCUCAGCCUGCGAAGCUCGUCCUCCAUCUCCUUCGAUUUUUCUGUUAGAUGAUGGAUUUUCUUCCUCAGAUGUCGGAUCGUAGACCUCAGCGGAACUCCCUGUGGCAAGGGAAGCACUUCAACAGGGCACUACCAUCGGGUGACAAAAGCGUCAAGGCGUGGCUCAUUGCAGAAAGAAAAAAGAAAAGAGAAGAGAAGUUCCCCAUA